AUUCAGCACACAAUAAAAUGCUUUAUUUAAGACAAGACAAUCAUCUUACUGUAUGUGUCUUUCUCUCUAGGUUCUGAGGAAGUGAAAAAGCGACAGCUUCAAAAUAAGGAUCCUGACACAUACCAUUUGUACUGCACCAUCUCCGAGGAGCCAGCUGCCUCAGCCCUGAAUGCACCUUGGCCUCAUCCUGUCCGAGCUGUUACUGUACUUCCAGCCUGCAAACACUGGUUUCCGGGCUACUUCUGCUGGCCCACUGGACUCUACUCUAUCUAAAUUUCACUGAGGUGAAGUUAGGUUUAGGUUGGAUAUUCGACAGACAUUCACUCAGGAUCCAGUGGCUCUUCUUACUCAGAAGUGUUGGCAGUAUAAGGGCAUUUAGCUCACCUCCGAGGGCACAAGGGAUGGCUUAGGGCGCAUCAAUAAAUUACUAGUGUUAUAAUGGUGUUAUGGAAAAUUUUAUUUCAAUAGCUUUCAUGUCAUGUGAUUCAGAGACUCCAAACCAAUGGCGAAUUGAAAAAAUGAGACACACCCCUUCAUAUUAGAUUUGAAUGCAUAUUUUAUAUUUAAAUUUUUAGGGAAAGUUUUUUUCUUUUUUUUAAAUAUAAAAACAGUGCAGUGUCAUUUCCCCCAUGUAGUACUACAAUUUGCCAUUGGUUUUUGAGCCUAGGUCACAUAACAUGGAAUUUAUUGGAAAAAGAAAAUUAUUUUUUUUAAUAAAAUAUUAAUAGAAUAUAGAAAAGAGAAAAAGCACUCAAAUAUUAAGGGGUGUGUCUCAUUUGCCCAAUGUAGUACUACAACUGGGCAUUGGGCUGGAGUUCCUGGGUCACAUGACAUGGAAACUAUUGAAAAAGUAACACAUCUUUUUACAUUGGA